GUAGGUGAACCUGCGGAAGGAUCAUUAAAGAAUAUCGAGCCUUACAGCUCUUAUUCUCACCCUUUGUAUACCAAACUUUGUUGCUUUGGCAGCGCCUUCAGGGCCUGCCAGAGGACCGAAACCCUAGAAUCUCUGCCGUCUGAGUACUAUAUAAUAGUUAAAACUUUCAACAACGGAUCUCUUGGUUCUG
rnacentral:misc_RNA from 1 species